rnacentral:lncRNA from 1 species
CCCUAGGCCUGGCUCACAGGCAAAAACCCAUUGGGAUCACAUUCAAAGCCAAUGAAAUGAGCUGUGUACUCUGGAUGUAUUUGAGGUCAAUUCCACUAAAAGUAUAUGCAACCAGGGCAUUACGCAGAAUCCUCACAGAGGAAAAAUAAAGAGGAAUAAGCCCCUCUUCUCAUCUCACAUCUAAUUUAGAUAUGCCUUGG